UGUGGGUGUGUGUGUGUGUGUGUGUUGGUGUGUGUGUGAGUGUAUGUUGGUGUUGAGCUGAUCGGUCCAGUGUGUGUCGAGCCGUCUGUAAUAUCAGGAUGAAUGUGUGUGCUCUCGUGCUGUGUGUGCUGCUGUCCGCCUCCAGCUGCUCAGCUGACAAAGGAACGACUCUUCAGCCCUGGUUUGGUGGGUCUGACCGCUGGUUGUUGGGUUCCUCUUCAUCGUCUUCAUCAUCUGAUUGCUCACAGACUCUCAGGAAGAACAGGGCGGAGCAAGACGGCUGGGGUUAUGAAAACAAGGCUGCCGCCAUGAAUGAAUAUGAGAAUAUACAAACCAGUCUGUAGAAACGGAUGCACCUGUCAGCCGCCUCCCACUGCUUUGUGACAGCCGAUAAUAAAGUCUCUGUUGAUCUUUGGUUGCUUCUUGUAGAGAUGGAAAAA